CGGUGAAGAUGAUGUCUUUCCC
rnacentral:siRNA from 1 species